GGAUAGCACAAUGAUCGCUUCCAAAUUUGUGCAGGCGGAUGAUUGAAGAGUUUGGAUUGCUUGGAUGGCCGUGUUGUGAGCGAUCCAACGGUCGAUGACGCGAAAGAAGAUGGAUCAUUCUUUCGCGCGAAAUAUACAACUCGGACCCGGAGCUCCCCUACCUACGGAGUAAGAUUCGUAACUCCGCUUACCAUCCCCACCGCGAGCCCAUCCUUCCAUCUCUUUCCUCCGCUCCUUGGCGGAAUCCCGAAAUCUUUAUUCAUGGCCGCCACCACAAGGACUCCGCUACCGCGCCCUGCCGACACGCCACCGGAAUUGUCUCCGUUACAUUCUCGCCGAUACGCCCGAAGCCCCGCCCUCCUCCUCUCCCUUUCCUCCUCUACAAAACCCUUCCCGAAGCUCGAGAUUUCGAUUGGGAGACGUCGGGCGAGCUGCUUCGUCACGAGAUCCGGCACGGCGAUGGGGGAACAUACCGUCGCCGGCGAGAGGAUGCUGGUGAUGGUUCCGCCACAUCCAUUGAUCAAGCACUGGAUCUCUGUACUCAGGAACGAGCAGACCCCGUGUGCCAUCUUUAAGAGCGCCAUGGCAGAACUUGGGAGAUUACUCAUAUAUGAAGCUUCAAGAGAUUGGUUGCCUACAAUUAUGGGAGAGAUCCAGUCACCAAUUGGUUCUGCUACUGUGGAAUUUAUCGAUCCACGUGAGCCUGUGGCGGUCAUUCCCAUCUUGAGAGCUGGUCUUGCUCUAGCUGAGCAUGCUCCAUCAGUUUUGCCAGCAACAAAAACUUACCACCUGGGCGUGUGCAGGGAUGAGGAAACGCUACAGCCCUCUGUAUAUCUGAACAAUGUGGCAGUAUCAUGCAUUAUCCUGUCAAAUUUGGCAGUGGGUGGUUUUGCAAAUAAUCGCGCUUGCCUGAUAGAUUUCCAGAGGGAUCUCGUAUACUUGUUGUUGACCCUAUGCUUGCAACCGGUGGCACAAUAGUUGCAGCUAUUGAGUUGUUGAAGGAUCGUGGUGUUGAUAGCAAGCAAAUAAAAGUUAUAUCUGCCGUUGCUUCCCCGCCAGCAUUGCAGAAGCUCAGCGAGAAGUUCUCGGGGCUUCGUGUAUAUGCAGGAAUAAUAGACCCAGUUCUGAAUGAGAAAGGGUUCAUAGUCCCAGGGUUGGGAGAUGCAGGGGACCGCAGCUUUGGUACCUGAGACCAUGCAUGCCUUCGAUGUAGCUUCUUUUUUCUUCCCAAAAAAUCAGACUUUGAGCAUGGCUUCAGCCAGUUUUUAACGCUGAGCAUUAAUUUGCAAAAUCUUUGUCGGUGCUCUUUUGGUGAUUCUUGUUGGUUAUCUUUGGUCUCAGUCGAAUUUUUCCCCUCAAUCACCUCUUAAGGUGGCAUGUAAAAAUUUGCUUGCAGACUGCUUGGAAUGUGAUUCCUUAUUUGCCAUUUAUGAGAUAUGAGUUGUUUUAGGGA